UGCUGGAGGUAUCAGAAGUGCGAAUGCUGACAUAAGUAACGAUAAAGCGGGUGAAAAGCCCGCUCGCCGGAAGACCAAGGGUUCCUGUCCAACGUUAAUCGGGGCAGGGUGAGUCGACCCCUAAGGCGAGGCCGAAAGGCGUAGUCGAUGGGAAACGGGUUAAUAUUCCCGUACUUGGUGUUACUGCGAAGGGGGGACGGAGAAGGCUAUGUUGGCCGGGCGACGGUUGUCCCGGUUUAAGCGUGUAGGUGUGUGUUCCAGGUAAAUCCGGUUCACUUUAACACUGAGGCGUGACGACGAGGCACUACGGUGCUGAAGCAACAAAUGCCCUGCUUCCAGGAAAAGCCUCUAAGCAUCAGGUAACAUCAAAUCGUACCCCAAACCGACACAGGUGGUCAGGUAGAGAAUACCAAGGCGCUUGAGAGAACUCGGGUGAAGGAACUAGGCAAAAUGGUGCCGUAACUUCGGGAGAAGGCACGCUGACAUGUAGGUGAAGUGAUUUACUCACGGAGCUGAAGUCAGUCGAAGAUACCAGCUGGCUGCAACUGUUUAUUAAAAACACAGCACUGUGCAAACACGAAAGUGGACGUAUACGGUGUGACGCCUGCCCGGUGCCGGAAGGUUAAUUGAUGGGGUCAGCGCAAGCGAAGCUCCUGAUCGAAGCCCCGGUAAACGGCGGCCGUAACUAUAACGGUCCUAAGGUAGCGAAAUUCCUUGUCGGGUAAGUUCCGACCUGCACGAAUGGCGUAAUGAUGGCCAGGCUGUCUCCACCCGAGACUCAGUGAAAUUGAACUCGCUGUGAAGAUGCAGUGUACCCGCGGCAAGACGGAAAGACCCCGUGAACCUUUACUAUAGCUUGACACUGAACAUUGAGCCUUGAUGUGUAGGAUAGGUGGGAGGCUUUGAAGUGUGGACGCCAGUCUGCAUGGAGCCGACCUUGAAAUACCACCCUUUAAUGUUUGAUGUUCUAACGUGGACCCGUAAUCCGGGUUGCGGACAGUGUCUGGUGGGUAGUUUGACUGGGGCGGUCUCCUCCUAAAGAGUAACGGAGGAGCACGAAGGUUGGCUAAUCCUGGUCGGACAUCAGGAGGUUAGUGCAAUGGCAUAAGCCAGCUUGACUGCGAGCGUGACGGCGCGAGCAGGUGCGAAAGCAGGUCAUAGUGAUCCGGUGGUUCUGAAUGGAAGGGCCAUCGCUCAACGGAUAAAAGGUACUCCGGGGAUAACAGGCUGAUACCGCCCAAGAGUUCAUAUCGACGGCGGUGUUUGGCACCUCGAUGUCGGCUCAUCACAUCCUGGGGCUGAAGUAGGUCCCAAGGGUAUGGCUGUUCGCCAUUUAAAGUGGUACGCGAGCUGGGUUUAGAACGUCGUGAGACAGUUCGGUCCCUAUCUGCCGUGGGCGCUGGAGAACUGAGGGGGGCUGCUCCUAGUACGAGAGGACCGGAGUGGACGCAUCACUGGUGUUCGGGUUGUCAUGCCAAUGGCACUGCCCGGUAGCUAAAUGCGGAAGAGAUAAGUGCUGAAAGCAUCUAAGCACGAAACUUGCCCCGAGAUGAGUUCUCCCUGAGACUUUAGGUCUCCUGAAGGAACGUUGAAGACGACGACGUUGAUAGGCCGGGUGUGUAAGCGCAGCGAUGCGUUGAGCUAACCGGUACUAAUGAACCGUGAGGCUUAACCUUACAACGCCGAAG
rnacentral:rRNA from 1 species